UACGUAGGGGGCUAGCGUUGUCCGGAUUUAUUGGGCGUAAAGAGCGUGUAGGCGGCCAGGUAGGUCUGCUGUGAAAACUCGAGGCUCAACCUCGAGACGUCGGCGGAAACCAUCUGGCUAGAGUCCGGAAGAGGAGAGUGGGAUUCCUGGUGUAGCGGUGAAAUGCGCAGAUAUCAGGAAGAACACCCGUGGCGAAGGCGGCUCUCUGGGACGGUACUGACGCUGAGACGCGAAAGCGUGGGGAGCAAACAGG
rnacentral:rRNA from 1 species